GCGUAAAGAGCUCGUAGGUGGUUUGUCGCGUUGUUCGUGAAAUCUCACGGCUUAACUGUGAGCGUGCGGGCGAUACGGGCAGACUUGAGUACUGCAGGGGAGACUGGAAUUCCUGGUGUAGCGGUGGAAUGCGCAGAUAUCAGGAGGAACACCGGUGGCGAAGGCGGGUCUCUGGGCAGUAACUGACGCUGAGGAGCGAAAGCGUGGGGAGCGAACAGGAUUAGAUACCCUGGUAGUCCACGCCGUAAACGGUGGGUACUAGGUGUGGGUUUCCUUCCUUGGGAUCCGUGCCGUAGCUAACGCAUUAAGUACCCCGCCUGGGGAGUACGGCCGCAAGGCUAAAACUCAAAGAAAUUGACGGGGGCCCGCACAAGCGGCGGAGCAUGUGGAUUAAUUCGAUGCAACGCGAAGAACCUUACCUGGGUUUGACAUGCACAGGACGCCGGCAGAGAUGUCGGUUCCCUUGUGGCCUGUGUGCAGGUGGUGCAUGGCUGUCGUCAGCUCGUGUCGUGAGAUGUUGGGUUAAGUCCCGCAACGAGCGCAACCCUUGUCUCAUGUUGCCAGCGGGUAAUGCCGGGGACUCGUGAGAGACUGCCGGGGUCAACUCGGAGGAAGGUGGGGAUGACGUCAAGUCAUCAUGCCCCUUAUGUCCAGGGCUUCACACAUGCUACAAUGGCCGGUACAAAGGGCUGCGAUGCCGCGAGGUUAAGCGAAUCCCCUUAAAGCCAGUCUCAGUUCGGAUCGGGGUCUGCAACUCGACCCCGUGAAGUCGGAGUCGCUAGUAAU
rnacentral:rRNA from 1 species